rnacentral:rRNA from 1 species
UGAAGAGGGAUGAGCUCAAAUUUGAAAUCUGGCGGUGCCGUUUGAACCGUCCGAGUUGUAGUCUGGAGAAGCGUUAUCUGCGCCGGACCGUGUACAAGUCCCUUGGAACAGGGCGUCGCAGAGGGUGAGAAUCCCGUCUCUGACACGGACUGCCGGGGCUGUGUGAUGCGCUCUCGAAGAGUCGAGUUGUUUGGGAAUGCAGCUCAAAUCGGGUGGUAAACUCCAUCUAAAGCUAAAUAUGGGCGAAAGACCGAUAGCGAACAAGUACCGUGAGGGAAAGAUGAAAAGCACUUUGAAAAGAGAGUUAAACAGGACGUGAAAUUGUUGAAAGGGAAACGCUUGGAGUCAGUCGCACGUCCCCUCGGAGUCAGCCCUGCGGUCACGCGGGGUGUAUUUCUGUGGGGGAUGGGCCAGCAUCGAUUUGAACCGUCGAACAAGGGCGGUGGGGCCUUUUCUUUUGGGAAGGGCCUUGCCGUCCCAAGCGAGGGUUUGGAUCGAGGGCUGANCACGCCCUCC